rnacentral:pre_miRNA from 1 species
GGUUGUUGAUGAUGAUGAUGAUGAAGAUGAUGUUGAUGACGAUUUGUGAUAAGCCCUCCACCCAAUGGCAUAUCUAUGUUGCACAACUCAACCUUGACACAACAUAAUGCCAUCAUCAUCAUCAUCAUCAUCAUCAUCAUCAUCAUCA